UGGCUCGUAGCUCAGUGGUAGAGCACUACCUUGACACGGUAGGGGUCGCUGGUUCGAUCCCAGUCGAGCCAACCA
rnacentral:tRNA from 1 species